rnacentral:lncRNA from 1 species
CUCUAGGUGCCCAGAUGGGACUCCCCUGCUGCAACGUGGCCAUGACUGGUCAGCAAAGGGCCGGGGUCUUCCAAGGCCGAGCUGUCGGGACCAAGCCUGACUUCAUCAGUGGGGAAGGUGGGGGGAGUGUGACUCAGAGCCACCAUCGGGGCUCUUUUUUUUUUAGAUGUUAUUUUUUUAAUAAAUAGAAGCCACACCACUUCGUCUGUUACAGCAAAUGAGAGGCAAGAAUCGAAGAGGGCCCCAGAAAGCAUUUUCAUCCACAAAAAUAACAGAAAGGACAAGCAUCUUCACCACCCAUGCCUCUGGUUAGUUCUUUCGACUGCUGUUCCCCUACCCACAUCAGUAUGUUGUUUCCAGGAUGGGACUGUCUUCGAGUCUUCUACUGGUUGGGACGCUAGUCUAUCAGCUUGCCUUAACCACAGAAUGGAAGUCUCUAACUUAGCUGAGAAACCUGGACAGGUCUUCUUUGAUUUCAGCCUCAUCCCAAGGCCCAUGAAUGUUUUCUUUAAAAACCUGCAGGCGAAGAGGUAGAAAGGGUGGAGACAAGAGAUGGAAACCAGCAGAAGGGCAAAGAGGAUGGCUCCCACAGCACCAAUGGACAGUAAACCUCCCAAGGCUGAAAAUGCGAAAAGCAACGUGACUCCCACAUAGCUGCAUGGAGUACGUGCCUUCAGUUUCUUCUCUAACAUGGGCCACAGGGCAAAAAUCUGGAUGGCAAAUGUCACCAUGAUGAAAGCAUGCAGGGACCAGGCCAACACCAUCGGGGGCCCUUGGGCUUUCCGUCCACGAGUGAAAAUCAGCCUGGAGAAAAUCGGUACGAUGCUGCGGUGGGAGAAAUUCAGCGCGCUUAGCUGUCCCACUCCUCUGGCUGCUACUGUGUUAAGGACCUGGUGCCAUCUGAGAGUCUGUGCCAUUUGCAUCAUCUGGAGGGAGAGGAGAACCGGGGGCACUGCAGCUGGGUGAUUUUCCCUUUCUUGGCCUUCCAGCUCCCUAGUCGCCUCUGUUUCAAAGGCUUGCACUGCCAAAGCCUAAGCCACAUCCGGCCCCAGGGAGGAGGGGAGGGAGGAGGGACGACUCUAGCCCUGAUCCACAAGGAAGAGCCCUGGGGCCCUGGAACAACUCCUGGGUGGAAAGUGCUUCUGUUACCUUGCCGACUGGUGUCUGAAAAGAACCUUAUUUUUCUCUCUAGUGGCUCCAGAAGAGGAAAUUAAUUUCUAGUUUUGAAUCCAUCUUCGCCUUUAUGUAAAUUUUAAAGCUUUUAUCAAAAAUAACACGUGCACAUGGCUUCAAAAUACAAUAGUGCAAAAGGGCUUAUAAAGGAAAGGAACAUUUACUUAUCCCUCCCCUCCUCAGCUCCAGUCCCAUUUUUAACUCAUUUCUUCUGAUGACUACUCCAUCUCUCUAAAUAUAUAAAAUCAGGACGCCUGGGGGGCUUAGUUGGUUAAGCAUCUGCCUUCGGCUCAGGCCAUGAUCCCAGGGUCCUGGGAUGGAGCCUGGGAUGGAGCAACGGGCUCCCUGCUCAGUGGCAGGGGUGGGGUGGGGGGUGGGGGGUGUCUGCUUCCCCUCUGACCCUCCCCCCUCCUUGUGUUUGCUCUCUCUCUGCCAAAUAAAUAAAUAAAAUCCUUUUUAAAAAUUAAGUUUAAAAUGUAUAUACAUAAUCACAUAUAAAAUACAUUGACCUUGACCUUCCACUAGCACACGUGGGAAUUUACUUCACUUCUCUUUCCUCCUUCCUUCUUUUUGCCUCCCACUCAGUUACAUCAAACCAUCAUUUUAGUUUCCUCCAUGAGCUAUUGCAUGUUAGGUUGUUUUCACUUCUAGUAAGAAAAAAAGUCAAUUCCAAAUAUUUAAGCAGUGAGGAAAAUGUCUUUUCCCACAAUAAGAUGCUCCAAGAUGGGAGAACAGUAUAAGGUUAAUUAAUUCGGAUAAUGUCUCAAGGCGUAGGAGAGGCUGGCUACUUCUCCCCCUAAUGCCUGCCAGCAGGCCAGCGCAGAUUUCCCCUUGUGUCUCUGGCAAGAGCCAGCCACGUUCCCACACCCCAGAAAUGACAAGGAAUGUGGAGUUACCAUGAUUUAGAUGAAUCUUGAUUUACCCCAGUCAUUCCUCAGCACCUGAUUCCAAAGGAGAACGUUGGACAGAUGAAGACAAUCUGGGCUCUGGAUACAAUCGGGGCUCUGCAAACAAGCAA